rnacentral:rRNA from 1 species
UUGGGAAUCUUGCACAAUGGGGGAAACCCUGAUGCAGCGACGCCGCGUGGAGGACGAAGGGUCUAGGCUCGUAAACUCCUUUUUUCGGGAAAGACUUAGGACGGUACCCGAAGAAUAAGCACCGGCUAACUACGUGCCAGCAGCCGCGGUAAGACGUAGGGUGCAAGCGUUGUCCGGAUUUACUGGGCGUAAAGAGCGCGUAGGCGGCUCGUUAAGUGUGAAGCUAAAUCUCCAGGCUCAACCUGGAAACUAUUUCGCAUACUGGCGGGCUGGAGUGAUGCAGAGGUGGAUAGAAUUCCCGGUGUAGCGGUGAAAUGCGUUGAUAUCGGGAGGAAUACCCGUGGCGAAGGCGGUCCACUGGGCAUCAACUGACGCUGAGGCGCGAAAGCGUGGGUAGCAAACAGGAUUAGAUACCCCCGUAGUCC